UCCUCUUCCUCACACAACACGAUUCUCUCUAUUUUUUUCUCUCUUUUUAAUUUUUCUUUUUCCCUUCCUCCUCACGAAACACGAUUUCCUCUCUUAAGUUUUUCUUCCUCUUCUCAUCUCCUCCUCUUCUCAAAACGAUUCUCUCUCUCUCGUAUUUGGUGUGACUUCAUCCUAAACAAACAGCGCCGUCAAGAUCCAAAGCUUCCUUUCCCGAGCUUAUCGGCGACUGGUGGUGGUAUGGGUAUGAGCUUUGUCGGAGACAAGGGGCUUCACGCCAAGGAUUCGAACUGGUUGGCUCUUUUCCGACGUUUUUGUGCUUUAGAUGGAGAAACAGAUCUGUAUUAGAGUUUGGUGGUGGCAGUUUGGAGAGAGCAAUCGAAAAUCCCCAAAUAUACAAGCCUCGUGGCUGUGCUCACAAGAGGAUGCAAUAGAACCUGUGUGCCAAAAGAGGUAUAGGAGGAGGGGGGAUUGGAUCAAGUGGAGAAGGAGUUCUCUAUGACCCUGAUUUCCUCAUGGUAGCCGACGAUCCCAACUCCUAUCGUUCCUGUGUUCAAUCACCCGGAGUGGAAAUGGAAGGCUUUUUUCUAAAACUGCAGGUUCACAUCCAGGAGAUAAGGUACCUUUUUCAUUGCUUUUUGAUUUUGAUGAGACAUUGUGGUAAGAGUUCAUCAAAUCCAAUUGUUAAACCAACAAUUUAGUUAAGAAUGUAAUCAGUUUAGACAAGAGUUAGGUGCUGUUAUCAUGCGUCUAGAUGUUGUGGAAGCCUCUGGGCUUAUGGAGAGCUGAGACUGCUCGUUGAUAUACUCUCAUUUUGUGUUUGUUGUAACUGACAAAUAUCAUUUGGUUAAUUGUGUUGUUUUUUGUUGGUCGCAAUAUAUCAGGAGUGAAUUAAAAAACAAAAUUUGUUCACAUAUUCCCUCUCUCUGCUCUCUGAACCUAUCAAAUUGGUUUUAAGAUUGUUUUGUCCUAGAAUGAAUAUAUUGGUUUUCGGAGGAAAUUUUUAUGUUGCUUCUCAUAUCUGCAAGGAGGCACCGAGACAAGGUUUCUCCGUAUCUAGUCUUAGCAGGUCUGGAUGAUCUACUUUGCAUAAUUCAUGGGUCGAGGAUGUAACCUGGCAUCAGCCUGCACUAGAAGGAAUAACAUCUGAGAUUUCAUUUGUUGGUGGUUUCUGUUCCAACUCAUAUAUGGUCAAAAUGGGUAUCGAGCCAGGUUUGCAAGUUGUAAACCAGAUGAAAGCUUCUUCGGGCAAAGAAAACAGCAAGUUUGAGAUUUCUUGAAGGCGAGAAAGGUCAAGCUUGAGAUCCGAGGACGAUGCUGAGCAACCUAUCCUUUAUUCACAAAUAUGUAUCAUGGUUUCAUUUAUGAAAAUAUAGCUUUUUUUAAUAUGGUCAGUUUAUCAUUAGUUAAUUAGGACAAAAAAUAGUUGCAAACUAAGAUCGAUAGCCAAUGUUCUUUAUGUCAUUACACGUGUUUGCAACUAAAUUUUCGUCGAAAUAAGUUACAUAAUUGAUAGUAGGUAAGUAUAACGAAUAGACAACGAUUCCCUAGUCAUUAUUUAUGACGAUUUAGAACUAAAAUUUCGUCAAAAUGAGUGACAGAUUUGAGACAUUAUAACAGUCAUAAAAUAUGAUGGUCUGAGACAUUUUCUUUAGUCUCCAAUUGAUACAGUUUUGUAACUUUUAUUUCUCGUCACCAUUGAUGACGAAGCAGUUUGACGAAGCAGUUACUAGAUAUAUUCGUCACAACAGAUGUGACGUUUUUGUUACGAAAAAAAAUUUGUGACGACUGUAUUGUGAUGUCCAAAAAACGUCACAAUUCCGUCACAAAAAUUUUAUUGCUACGAAAUUAUGUUUAUUGUGACGAAAUGUUUUUGUCAUAAUAUAGUUAUUUUGGCAUAAAGUUUUAACUGAUGAUUCCUUUGUUCCGAUACAGUGUUUGGCCGAUGAAAACUCCACCCGGUAAGCAUUUUAGCCGAGAAAUUGUAGCCUGCGGUACAUGGCUUUGCCGAUGGAUCCAAAAACACCAUUUCCACCAUUUAUGAUCCUCCAAACUCUAUUUCUUUAUCUGGUUCACUCUCUUCACUCCAAAUGUCCUCAAUAUUACAUGUUUAAGA